rnacentral:lncRNA from 1 species
UCAAAUUUCAAAAUUUUAAAUUUAAUUUUUAGACGUAAAUUUUAAAUCAUUAAUUUUUAAUGUAGACUUUAAAAUUAAAAUUAUAUUUUAAUUUUUAAAUUUUAUAUUUUAAUAUUAUAUUUUAAGUCAAAAUAUUAAAUUUUUUAUUUUGUUCUAAUUUUAAAUUGAAAUUGAAAAUUUAAAUUAUUUUAAGAUGAAAUUUUGUCGUAAAAAUCAUUAUUUGUAAGAAAGAAAAUUUUUUUGAUUAACAAAUUUACAAUAUUAUUUCAGAAAAAUCAUUUUCUAUCUAAAUUCAGCUGAAAGCUCUAUAAAUUUUAACGAAAAUUGAUUUUUCAAAUCAAAAUUAAUUAUACGAAAACCAUUUCU